CUGGUUGAUUCUGCCAGUCAAUCAAGCUAUUCUCGAAGAUUAAGCCAUGUAUGUGCCAAGUCCAAACGUUCAACGUGAGACUGCGGACGGCUCAGUAAAUCAGUGAUAGUCUAUUUGAUUGUCUCUCCCAUUGGAUAACCGUGGGAAAUCUAGAGCUAAUACGUGCAGUUCAUUGGCGUACACCUUCGGGUAUGCGUCAAGGCAUUUAUUAGACUAAACCAUCUACUGUACCAUCGCGUACAGUAAGGGGAAUCUGGAUAACUAUGCCGAUCGCAUGGCCUUGUGCCGGCGACGUUUCAAUUGAGUUUCUGCCCUAUCAACUUGUUGGUAAGGUAUUGGCUUACCAAGGUUGCAACGGGUAACGGGGAAUCAGGGUUCGAUUCCGGAGAGGGAGCCUGAGAAACGGCUACCACAUCCAAGGAAGGCAACAGGCGCGCAAAUUACCCAAUCUAGACAGUAGGAGGUGGUGAAGAGAAUUACUAGGUGGUGACUCGAUGAGUUACCAGUUUGGAAUGAACGUAACUUAAGAAAUUCGAUGAGAAACAACUGGAGGGCAAGUCCUGGUGCCAGCAGCCGCGGUAAUUCCAGCUCCAGUAGUUUGAUUUAAAGUUGUUGCGUUUAAAACGCUCGUAGUUGGAUCACGCAGCAGUGUUCAGUAAUCUGCCAUCGUACUGGCUGUAUCGAGCCCACUUGUGUGGUGCGUCGAUAGUAGCUGUACGUAUGGUUAGAUACCAACGCUGAGCACUGUUAGUUGCACGUGAGAUGAAUUGUUGGCCUUGAAUGAGCCGGUAUUCUCGUCUUGCGGAGUGUGCCUUGAAUAAAACAGAGUGCUUAAAGCAGGUCAUUGCCUGAAUGUUAUAGCAUGGAACGAACAAUCGUGUAGUAUGUAUCUGCCUUGUAACGGCGGUGGGCCUUAGGUCUGCCGUUGUUCGAGGUAGAUACGGCACCCACCAAAAUAUGGCUGUUGGUUCCAUAUCCGGUGAUGAUUAAAAGGAGCGGUUGGGGGCAUUGGUAUUUGGCCGCGAGAGGUGAAAUUCUUAGACCGGCCAAGGAUUAACAAAUGCAAAGGCACUUGUCUAGACCGUUUCCAUUAAUCAAGAACGAAAGUGGGAGGUUCGAAGACGAUCAGAUACCGUCCUAGUUCCCACUGUAAACUAUGCCGACCUGGGAUCAGUCUAGAGAUGUUACAAGCUCUAGAUUGGUCCCCCUGGGAAACCUCAAGUUUUUCGGUUACGGGGAGAGUAUGGUCGCAAGGCUGAAACUUAAAGGAAUUGACGGAAGGGCACCACCAGGGGUGGAGCCUGCGGCUUAAUUUGACUCAACACGGGGAAACUUACCUGGUCCGGACAUCGAUAGGAUUAACAGAUUGAUAGCUCUUUUAUGAUGCGAUGAGUGGUGGUGCAUGGCCGUUCUUAGUUCGUGGAGUGAUCUGUCGGCCUAAUUGCGGUAACGAACGAGACCACAUUCUCCCUUUAAGAGAUGCAGGCAGACGUAUCUGUCGAUGAGUAGUCGCAAGAUUGCAUGUCGACAGCCGUUGUAGGCUACAAGAUAUCUGGCAUUGUUGACGUUGAAGGGUAACCUUUGGCAGAGAUGGUGAACGGUAUUUUGCUCCCCUGCAUUGAGUAGCAGUCGAUGGUUUCGAUCAUUGAUUGUUGCCUUAUGGAGAGACAACGAGGUAUAAACAAGCUCGAGGAAGAGUGGCUAUAACAGGUCAGUGAUGCCCUUCGAUGUUCAGGGCUGCACGCGCGCUUACAAUGAUAACGACAACGAGUAUCUGCGUCGAAAGACGUGGGUAAUCUUUAAUCGUUAUCGUGAUGGGGAUUGACCGUUGUAAUUGUCGGUCAUGAAAGAGGAAUCCCUAGUAUGCGUAUUUUAUUAGAAUGCGCAGAUUAAGUCCCUGCCCUUUGUACACACCGCCCGUCGCUACUACCGAGUGAAUGGUGUCAUGAUGCGCUGGGACUGGACGUUGGAUGGGACAGGCAACUGCCUCGUCCGAUGCUGGGAUCAGCGUAAAAUGGCGCAAUUUCGAGGAAGUAAAAGUCGUAACAAGGUUUCCGUAGA
rnacentral:rRNA from 1 species